rnacentral:rRNA from 1 species
AGGUAAGCUACUAAGAGCGAAUGGUGGAUGCCUUGACUGGUAGAGGCGAUGAAGGACGUACUAGACUGCGAUAAGCUAGGUGGAGCUGUCAAGAAGCUUUGAUGCCUAGAUUUCCGAAUGGGGCAACCCAGUAUAUAGAGAUAUAUACUACCAUAAUGGAGCGAACGAGGGGAAUUGAAACAUCUUAGUACCCUCAGGAAAAGAAAUCAAACGAGAUUGCGUCAGUAGCGGCGAGCGAAAGCGUAAGAGGGCAAACCCAGUGCUUGCACUGGGGGUUGUAGGACUGCAAUGUGCAAGAGGAAAGGUUAGCAGAACACUCUGGAAAGUGUAGCCAUAGAGGGUGAUAGUCCCGUAUGCAAAAACCUAACCUUAGCUAGCAGUAUCCUGAGUAGGGCGGGACACGAGAAAUCCUGUCUGAAGCUGGGUAGACCACUAUCCAACCCUAAAUACUACUACCAGAUCGAUAGCGAACAAGUACCGUGAGGGAAAGGUGAAAAGAACGGCGGUGAGCCGAGUGAAAUAGAACCUGAAACCAUUUGCUUACAAUCAUUCAGAGCACUAUGUAGCAAUACAGUGUGAUGGACUGCCUUUUGCAUAAUGAGCCUGCGAGUUGUGGUGUCUGGCAAGGUUAAGCUAACGCGAAGCCGUAGCGAAAGCGAGUCUGAAUAGGGCGCUAAGUCAGAUGCUGCAGACCCGAAACGAAGUGAUCUAUCCAUGAGCAGGUUGAAGCUAGUGUAAGAACUAGUGGAGGACCGAACCCGCUAGCGUUGAAAAGCUAUGGGAUGACUUGUGGAUAGGGGUGAAAGGCCAAUCAAACUUCGUGAUAGCUGGUUCUCUCCGAAAUAUAUUUAGGUAUAGCGUUGUGUCGUAACUAAAGGGGGUAGAGCACUGAAUGGGCUAGGGCAUACACCAAUGUACCAAACCCUAUCAAACUCCGAAUACCUUUAGUGUAAUCACAGCAGUCAGGCGGCGAGUGAUAAAAUCCGUCGUCAAGAGGGAAACAACCCAGACUAACAGCUAAGGUCCCCAAAUCUUACUUAAGUGGAAAACGAUGUGAAGUUACUUAAACAACCAGGAGGUUGGCUUAGAAGCAGCCAUCCUUUAAAGAAAGCGUAAUAGCUCACUGGUCUAGUGAUUUUGCGCGGAAAAUAUAACGGGGCUAAAGUAAGUACCGAAGCUUUAGACUUGCACACAACUUAGAUGAUUUAAAUUUGGAAUAUGAGAAGCUAAAUUUAUUUUUAUUUAUUUUUGCUUAUCUUUAUUCAUUUUUAUAGAGUAAAGAUAAAAACAAAAACUUCGUAAAAAUAAUAAAAUUUAGUAAAAAACAAUAAAAAUAUUCUUAGAUUAAAAGUUAAGUCGUUUAAGUUGUGUGCAAUGUGGUAGGAGAGCGUUCUAUUUGCGUCGAAGGUAUACCGACAAGGAGUGCUGGAGCGAAUAGAAGUGAGCAUGCAGGCAUGAGUAGCGAUAAUUAAUGUGAGAAUCAUUAACGCCGUAAACCCAAGGUUUCCUACGCGAUGCUCGUCAUCGUAGGGUUAGUCGGGUCCUAAGCUGAGUCCGAAAGGGGUAAGCGAUGGCAAAUAGGUUAAUAUUCCUAUACCAACAUUAGUGUGCGAUGGAAGGACGCUUAGGGCUAAGGGGGCUAGCGGAUGGAAGUGCUAGUCUAAGGUCGUAGGAGGUUAUACAGGCAAAUCCGUAUAACAAUACUCCGAGAACUGAAAGGCUUUUUGAAGU